rnacentral:rRNA from 1 species
UGGUUUGAUUCUGGCUCAGGAUGAACGCUGGCGGCAUGCCUAACACAUGCAAGUCGAACGGAGUUAUUAUUCAGAAGUUCUUCGGGAUGGAAGGAUAAGAACUUAGUGGCGGACGGGUGAGUAACGCGUGGGUAACCUGCCCUUUUGUGGGGAACAACUUCGAGAAAUCGGAGCUAAUACCGCAUAAUAAUAGAGGAUCGCAUGAUUCUUUAAGGAAAGAUGGCCUCUGAAGAUGCUAUCGCAAAAGGAUGGACCCGCGUCUGAUUAGCUAGUUGGGAGGGUAACGGCCUACCAAGGCAACGAUCAGUAGCCGGCCUGAGAGGGUGAACGGCCACAUUGGGACUGAGACACGGCCCAAACUCCUACGGGAGGCAGCAGUGGGGAAUCUUCCGCAAUGGGCGAAAGCCUGACGGAGCAAUGCCGCGUGAGUGAAGAAGGCCUUCGGGUUGUAAAACUCUGUCCUUAUCGAAGAGAGGUAGGUAUGUGAAUAAUGUACCUAUAGGACGGUAGAUAAGGAGGAAGCCCCGGCUAACUACGUGCCAGCAGCCGCGGUAAUACGUAGGGGGCGAGCGUUGCCCGGAAUCACUGGGCGUAAAGGGCGCGUAGGCGGUUUAAUAAGUCAGUGGUGAAAACUGAGGGCUCAACCCUCAGCCUGCCACUGAUACUGUUAGACUUGAGUAUGGAAGAGGAGAAUGGAAUUCCUAGUGUAGCGGUGAAAUGCGUAGAUAUUAGGAGGAACACCAGUGGCGAAGGCGAUUCUCUGGGCCAAGACUGACGCUGAGGCGCGAAAGCGUGGGGAGCAAACAGGAUUAGAUACCCUGGUAGUCCACGCCGUAAACGAUGGAUACUAGGUGUUAGUAGUUUCGAUGCUACUAGUGCCGGAGUAAACACAAUAAGUAUCCCGCCUGGGGAGUACGGUCGCAAGACUGAAACUCAAAGGAAUUGACGGGGGCCCGCACAAGCGGUGGAGCAUGUGGUUUAAUUCGACGCAACGCGAAGAACCUUACCAAGACUUGACAUCCUCCUGACAAGAUAUGUAAUGUAUCUCUUUUCUUCGGAGACAGGAGAGACAGGUGGUGCAUGGUUGUCGUCAGCUCGUGUCGUGAGAUGUUGGGUUAAGUCCCGCAACGAGCGCAACCCUUAUUUCUAGUUGCCAGCAGUAAGAUGGGGACUCUAGAGAGACUGCCAGUGACAAACUGGAGGAAGGUGGGGAUGACGUCAAAUCAUCAUGCCCCUUAUGUCUUGGGCUACACACGUGCUACAAUGGUCAGAACAGAGGGAAGCGAAGCCGCGAGGUGGAGCAAAUCCCAGAAAACUGAUCUCAGUUCGGAUUGCAGGCUGCAACCCGCCUGCAUGAAGUCGGAAUCGCUAGUAAUCGCGGGUCAGCAUACCGCGGUGAAUACGUUCCCGGGCCUUGUACACACCGCCCGUCACACCACGAAAGUUAGUAACACCCGAAGCCGGUGGCCUAACCCGCAAGGGAGGGAGCUGUCGAAGGUGGGACUGAUGAUUGGGGUGAAGUCGUAACAAGGUACC